GGCUGCUGGUGGAGGCUGUGGUUUAUAAAUCAGAGGAUCUCACAGAUGUGCGCUCACCUUCAGGCGCAGAUGACAAUGAGGAUGCUGAUGCUGCUGCUGCUUCUGUGUGCCUCGGUGGAGGCGUGGGGGUCGGGGGAAACUCAGAAGCUGCAGGCCCUCCACUGUCCCCCCUGCGAGAGGAUCCACUGCUCCACCCGGCGGGCCCUCAGGCUCCAGUGUAAAGGUGGGGUGACCACAGGGGUGUGUGGCUGCUGCCCCGUGUGCGCCAAAACGGAGGGGGAAAGCUGCGGGGGCUCGUGGGACCACCUGGGCAAGUGUGACGAUGGGCUGGUGUGCAUGGUAGAGGCAGAGGAUGUGGAGAGCAGAGGGACCUGCAGGUCAGUGAUUGAAGAUCUGGAUCCAGAGAGCUGCCAGCCGGAGUGCACCAAGGAGUACUGUCAGGCAAACCCAUUUGCUGUCUGUUCUGCCAGGUCGGCAUCCCUGGAGAAGAAAGCCUGUCAGGGUUCCUGCCAGCACACCUCCUGCUCCAGCUGCUUCGUGCUGACCCGCCCAUCGUGUCCACACGCCUGCAGCCCGACAGACUCCACCUGCCUGCAACUCUUUGGGAAGUGUGUGCGCAGUCACCUGAGAGCGCGGCCUCAUGUGUGCCACAGUGACCAGCAGAACAUCUGCGAUGGACAUUUUAUGUGUUUGCUCCCAUCCUGCUCAAACCCAACCAACUAGAUAACCUGAAGAAAACUUUACCGGCUCAUGUAGCAACAGUAACAAAAGGCAGCUAUCUGUAAACCUUGUGAAUAAGUCAAUAAUAUUGACCUACAAAUGUUAUGUGAACUGUUUUAAUACAAUUAUGAAUUUAAACUUGUUAAGACAUAAAAAAUAAAAUGUUUCAUUAAAUAAUUGUUCCUAUGUGACUAGUUAUUGACUCGAUUGUUGAUUUCUUUUUACUUCAUAAAAUCUUGUAAUAAAAAUUAUUUUUGUAAGAAUGAGGAAAUAUUCACAAUAAAAAAAAGUUUUUAAC
rnacentral:lncRNA from 1 species